UUUUUUUUUUUUUUUUUUUUAGCACGGAAAGAUUCUACAGCCUGUCUGAAUGCUGAUUGGAAAGAUCCAACAGACAGAGGGGAUGGCCAGAGGGGAAAAUGAGAGCUCUCAGAAGGCUGGAAGGGAUAGGCUUAGUCCACCUGUGGCUGGAUUGACUUUUGGGAGAAAGUGGGCUAUUUUUUGUUUCAGUAAUAGAAAAGAAAGAGGAGAUAGAUAUUGAUGAAAAUUGGUUUGUGUAUUUAGCAGUUAAGAACUUUCUGCCUGGCAACAUCUCUUCCUAUUAAGUACUGGGCAAGUCCAGGUAUUGGGAGUGGGAAGGAAGGGAGGAAACGGGGUACCUAGGAGACGUAGAAGGUAUUUUGAAGUGGCUUCUGGCAUGAUAAGCCAGCGUGCUUGCUAGAGAGUGUAGUAGUCAUAGUAAUACUUAACACUGGAGUGCUUACAUUAUACUGCUGAGCACUUUAUAUGAACUAGCUCACCUUGCCCACCAAGGCUCUACUUUAACAGGCACUACAGUGAUGAAGAGCAUAGACUUUGGGGCCGGAGUGGCCAGAGUGCUGGUUAAAUGCCCACUACCACUUACUAGGGUGUGAGCUUGGUCAAGUUACUUAACAUUGCAGAGCCCGUUUUCCCAUCUCUAAAAUAGAAAUAGUGGUGGCACCUGCCUCCUGGGGUUGUUGUGACUGGGUUAACAUGUUUGUACAGUACUCAGAACAAUGCAUGGCACAUAGUAAAAAUUUUAAGUACUAAUUUAAGAAGAGAAGAGAAAAACAUUGUAUAAGUAGAUCUAAGGUGUUAGGAGAUGUAGUUAUGUUGGGGGAAAAAAAUCUCUCUGGCUAUAAUGAUUCUGUGGAGGAUCCUUUCCAGUCCUUAAAGGUGGUUAAACAGUUGAACUCUAACCUCCUGAAGAGCCUAAUUUUAUUCUUUGGAACUAUAGAAGAUGUUUGGCAGAUUUUUUGCUCAGUCGUUUUUAUCAUCAGAAAGGCUAAAAGUAGGGACAACUUAUUUCCUUGGGCUAGGGAUUGAAAAACUUAGAUUUUGAUCCCAGUCACUGGGUGAACCCACAUGCUUAUUUCAACCUCUGUGCUGUCUCUCCCUCCAUAAAGUAAUGGGAAGGAAGAUGGCUUCAAGGAAAGAGCCAGGGUCUGAGAGCAGUGAUUGGAAACCUGGAAGAAGCCAUUCACACCCCAUGUGCUCCAUUCAUUCAUCUCUAAAAUGCCUGUCAAUCAAAGUCAGGCAAAUUGUGAGAAAAUGAAACUGUAUGUAGAAGUACUUCGAAAAUAAAAGUGUUUUAUGUUCACAGCAUUAUUAUUAGAAAUAAUCUUUGCUACCAGCUCAUCAUAAAUGCUUGGCAGAUUAAUGAGGUGAUUUGAUAAUUGUAAUGUUUUGAGUUUCUUUGGAAGACGUGUGUAACACAAAUGCCAGGUGUUUCUGUUAUGGGAGAACUUGAAUAAGUCACAGAGGAUCUAACUACAUGCUUAGUACAUCAUGCUGAGUAUUAUAGAAAAACAAAAGAACUUUAAAACAAGGUUCUUGGCUUCUAAGAAUAUAGUUUUCACAGGGUGAUAAAAUAUACACCUAGUAUUAUUCAGUACGACAUGUGAUUGAGUGCUAGAAUACGUGAUGCAGACAGAAAGUACUAGAAGAAGUUGUGGAGGGGGACUAUAUAGGUGGUAACUGCUUUUCUUUUCCUGAGGUAAAUGUUUUCUGAUGGCUUUGUCCAUGCAGGAUUCAUUUUCUACUUCUAUUUUCCCAGUGAUUUCUAAUGUUCAUUGAGAGGUUACAAAAUGGUUUAUGAUUAUAUAUGUCCAACUUGACAACCAGAAUCCAUUUCUUAGUCUAAACCAAAAAAAAAAA
rnacentral:lncRNA from 1 species